rnacentral:misc_RNA from 1 species
AAGUCGUAACAAGGUUUCCGUAGGUGAACCUGCGGAAGGAUCAUUAACGAGUUUACUGAGUUGUCGCUGCCCUCUCGGGGGAUGUGCACGCUCUUUCACUCAUCUAUACACCUGUGCACCUAUGCGAGUCAAUGGGGGAUUAGCGAAAGAGACCUGCAAGGGUUUCGACUAGCGUUCUCUGUCGGCUCGAUUUUUUAUAAACUCUUGUAUGUCUUAGAAUGUCUACUUUGCUUAACGCAAUAAAUACAACUUUCAACAACGGAUCUCUUGGCUCUC